rnacentral:pre_miRNA from 1 species
CUCAUACUCCCUCCGUCCGGAAAUACUUGUCAUCAAAAUGGAUAAAAGGGGAUGUAUCUAGAUGUAUUUUAGUUCUAGAUACAUGUCUUUUUAUCCAUUUUGAUGACAAGUAUUUUCGGACGGAGGAAGUACAAU